GAUGAACGCUGGCGGCGUGCCUAAUACAUGCAAGUCGAGCGAACGGACGAGAAGCUUGCUUCUCUGAUGUUAGCGGCGGACGGGUGAGUAACACGUGGAUAACCUACCUAUAAGACUGGGAUAACUUCGGGAAACCGGAGCUAAUACCGGAUAAUCUUUUGAACCGCAUGGUUCAAAAGUGAAAGACGGUCUUGCUGUCACUUAUAGAUGGAUCCGCGCUGGAUUAGCUAGUUGGUAAGGUAACGGCUUACCAAGGCAACGAUGCAUAGCCGACCUGAGAGGGUGAUCGGCCACACUGGAACUGAGACACGGUCCAGACUCCUACGGGAGGCAGCAGUAGGGAAUCUUCCGCAAUGGGCGAAAGCCUGACGGAGCAACGCCGCGUGAGUGAUGAAGGUCUUCGGAUCGUAAAACUCUGUUAUUAGGGAAGAACAUAUGUGUAAGUAACUGUGCACAUCUUGACGGUACCUAAUCAGAAAGCCACGGCUAACUACGUG
rnacentral:rRNA from 1 species